CACGUAGGGCGCAAGCGUUGUCCGGAAUUAUUGGGCGUAAAGAGCUCGUAGGCGGUCUGUCGCGUCGGAUGUGAAAAUCCAGGGCUUAACCCUGGGCCUGCAUUCGAUACGGGCAGACUAGAGUUCGGUAGGGGAGACUGGAAUUCCUGGUGUAGCGGUGAAAUGCGCAGAUAUCAGGAGGAACACCGGUGGCGAAGGCGGGUCUCUAGGCCGACACUGACGCUGAGGAGCGAAAGCGUGGGGAGCGAACAGG
rnacentral:rRNA from 1 species